CAGCCGCCGCGGUAAUACGUAGGGUGCAAGCGUUAAUCGGAAUUACUGGGCGUAAAGCGUGCGCAGGCGGUUUGUUAAGACGGAUGUGAAAUCCCCGGGCUCAACCUGGGAACUGCAUUUGAGACUGUAUGGCUAGAGUGUGUCAGAGGGGGGUAGAAUUCCACGUGUAGCAGUGAAAUGCGUAGAUAUGUGGAGGAAUACCGAUGGCGAAGGCAGCCCCCUGGGAUAACACUGACGCUCAUGCACGAAAGCGUGGGGAGCAAACAGGAUAGAUACCCCCGUAGUCCCUGUCUCUUAUACA
rnacentral:rRNA from 1 species